GCAAACAUCCUUGCUGGCUUCAGGAAGGGUGGGACGGAAUUGUUUGGUAGUUCAAGGGGUUCUGAGGUCUCUCUCAUCAGUCAGCAGGCUUUUAAAGAAGCAGGAACUCCAGAGGGAGCGGGGCAAGACCAAGGGCAAACAAGAUGGCGGGAGGGGUGAAAUCCCGCCCCGAGGUGCAGACCUGAAGGGUCUCUUCUAACAGGUGUGUCCACGAGAGACCUCCGGAGCAGCCCACAAGCAGCUCACAGCUGCGGGCCACCUGCCUUCCUGUGCUCAGCUCAGGAAUAUUUGUAUCUUGUGAGGAUGCAGCUACAGUGCAAUCCUGGGGUAGGAGAACAACACCAGCAAAACCCUUCUCUAAGCACCUUCUAUGACACCGAAACGAAAAAGAAACGAAAUACCCAGAAUUCAAGUUAGCAAGCUCCCAGGGAUUCUGGACUGCACACCGUUGCAGGGAGAUAUGGUGGAGAAUGACGGUGUUUGCAGUUUGUUUUGCCGUCAUGUCAACAAGUGCAAGCAGCCUUUCCUCAACACACUUUUAAACAACGUUUGUGACUCAGAACCCAGGCACUCAGUCCUCUGGAGGAGGCAUCAGAGAAGGACGGCCCCUAACUCCCGGUGGGAAGGAUACUAUCAAGUACUAUUAACAACUGACACAGGAGUGCAAUUCCAAGAAAUUGAUUUCUGGAUUCAGGUUUCUCAAUUAAAGAGGCAAAAACUAUCCUCAACUCUUGUAAGACUUUUUUUUUUUUUUAAGCUCUCAAGCCAAAGUUUCUUAGAAACCCCUCAGAAGCAGAUGAGCUUCAUAAGGAAAGAGCUUGCCCCAGUGACUGGGGGUAACUAAGGUCAGGAGAAGGAGUUGAUGUUUUCCACCAAAGACCCAUGGAAGAAGAGUACAAGCCCCUAGGCUUUAAUCUGCACUCUUGUUCUUCAUUUUUCAAGCUAUGGUCUUGCCUGUCUUCCUUGUUUAAGGCAACUUUGACCUACAUUACACGUAAGGCCAGUUCUUGAUAUUCUCCUUCUCUCCUUAUUCACUCUUUUCUAUGGGCCCAAUAUCUACCUGUGAGCUGGCUGAAGGGUACAGCUAAACUGUUGAUUUUUCACAUCUUUUAAAGCUCCUUGGUUUCCUUAGUUUUGCUUUCUUAUAAUUUAUCAGUUGGCUUUAAGGGUCCAAAUGAUUAAUGGACUAACUAAUUAACCAUUAGUUGACUUUUUACCUGGCAAACAGCAUGAAAAGUAGAAACCUAAAACAACCUUACCUUGUCCUUCUAGGAAAGGAUUCAUAUCUCCAUUACAACAAUAUUGGAGACCUUUCGUGGAAUAGUUUAGUACCCUUGGAAAUACUGUAACAGAAACUACAGAAAAUGGAACACAAGGGGAGAUGUUAAAAUGAAAGGAAGAUCUGUGGGCUGUAAACUUAAGUGACAUGAUAGAUAUUUAAUUGGAGGAGGGAGAGCACAGGUAAAACUACUUAAAGGAACAGUAGUCAAUCAUGAUGAAAACUGUAAACACACAGAACCAAGAAUCAUAACAACCCCCAAGAAAGAAAAUAUCGCCCAUACACACCAUCAUCAAAUUGCCGAAAUUUAAUGACAAAAAGAAAAUCUUAGAACCAGACAGAAAAAUAGAUGUGAUAGAACAGAACAGAAUGGCAGCCGACUUCUCACUGGAAAUGAUGAAAACAAUGAAACGGUGGCCAGCACCUUUAAAGUACCAAUAACUUAGAGGUCUACACCCAAUUAAAAAUGGCUUUCAAAACCACAACUGAACUAAAGACUUUUAAAACAUAUAAUUUAAAAUAAAUAAGUUUUAAACACAAAUCAUUCACCACUAGCAGACCUGUUGUAUAGGAAAAUGGAGAAAAUGGAGGGGGCCCUCCAAGGUGGGAGGAAGUUGAAAGUGGAUGGCAUCUGGAUCUGUACAAAAGAAUGAAGAGCACAGGGAAUGGAACAGCAUGGAUAAAUACACGGAGAUUUUUAUGAACAUCUUUUUACAAGAUAUUUAACUAAACAAAAAUCAUAAUGUAUUGUGGGGUUCACAACAUGAAAAAGUAAAAAUAUCUUAAAACAAUAGCAUAAAGUCAGGGAGGAGAUAAAUGGAAGUGUAUUACUCAUAAGUGUUUUAAAUAUGAUAUACGAAAUUGUAUAACAUUACUUGAAAAUAGAUGAAGAUAAAGAUGUUUACUAUAAACCCUAAAAUAACCAUUAAAAUAAUAUAAUAAAUAGCUAAAGAGUCAAUAAAAGAGAUAAAAUAGAGUCCUCAAAAAAGACUCAAUCCAAAAGUGAAUAUACUUUGUAUACAACUAGAGGUGUGAAAAAGUGUGCUCUAUAUGUGCAAUAUGAAUUGUAAUGCAUUCUGCUGUCAUAUGUAACAAAUUAGAAUAAAAAUAAAUUAAAAAAAGACUCAAUCCAAAAAAAGGUAGAAAAGGAGGAAAAGGGUAAUAAGAACAGAUGUUGCAAUAGGAAAAAAAAUGGAAAAAUGAGAAAUGAAACCCUAAUCAUGAAAUAAUUACAUUAAAUGUGAAUGGGUUAAUCACUUCAAUUAAAGGGCAGAGAUUGCCAAAUAUAAUGCAAAAGCAAGGCCCACUUAAAGUUGUCCACAAGAUACACACUCUAAACUUAAAGACACAAAUAGAUUCACUACAUAAGCAUGCAAAAGUUAAGUCUAGUCAAAAGAAAUUGAUAAAGGAAAUAAUUAGUCAAAUGUAAAAUGAUACAACUUUGGAAAACAUUUGGGCAGUUUCUUCAGAAGGUAAAUAUCAACUGCAUUAUCCAACUCAUAGAAAGCGUAUAUCCUUAUAAAGACUUGUAUGGAAAUAUUCAAUAUCAGUAUCAUUAAUAAAAGCCAGAACUGGAAACAAAUGUCUCUCAUGAUAUGAAUGGACCAAUAGUGGUGGUGCACCCACACAAUGGAAACCUUUUCAACAAUAAAGGGUCUGAAUUAUUGAUACAUGAAAUGUAAAUGAAUCUCAAACUAAUUUAUGCUUUUUGUUAAGAUAAUGGGUAAAAUAAAUGCAUAUUUAUGGGUCUAUUUAUGCAAAAUUCUAGAAUCUUUCAUACAGAAAUUCUAUUAGUGGUUGCCUUGGGUGGAGCGAAGGGGAGGAACAGGGGGCCAGGAUUCCCAAGGACCAUGAGGAAACAUUUGGGAAUGACUAUGGUGUUGGUUUCAUGGGUACAUACGAAGGUAAAAAUUAGAAGAUUAUCCCUUUUAAAUCUGUGCAGUUUAUUGCAUGUCAAGUUUAUCCCAAUAAAACUGACACAAGUAAGCUAUGUUACAAGGAUUGAAAGUAGAGAAUUUUUA